rnacentral:rRNA from 1 species
AUCUACUGCCAUACCACCCUGAACAAGCGCGAUCCUGUCUGAUCUCUGAAGCUAAACAGAGUUGGGCCUAGUUAGUACUUGGAUGGGAGGCCACCUAGGAAGACCAGGUGCUAUAGGCA